GGAAAAAAUGUGCCUGCCACCCCUAAUUGGAAAUUAACCCUGCUAAUAACGAUAGUCCUCCCAAAGGAACGUCUGUUGGUUAAAAAAAAAAUAAAUUAGUUGCAUCGUCAAAACAGCUGGCUGCAAGAUCUGCGAUAGCCAGUUGCUUCGCUGGUGGACCUGAGCAUUAUUUCUCUUGUGGCUGGGACUGCUGGGACCGCUGGCAGCGGAGAACUUGCUCUGGAGCCUGGAAACAGCCUCGGUGUGGGCACCGUGACUCACACUUCCCACUAACGCACGGCUGCGCUUUUUGUCUUGGAUUUGUUUCUAGUAUCUGUCCAGCCUGACGGGUUCGGUAUGUGGAAUCUGAAAUCACCUUGGCUUUGGUGCUUUCUGGAAAAAAAAGAGCUUUCCCCUCGCCUCGUGGGGAAGCGUCAGCUUUCAAGGGCUGUUGGUGAGUGAGCGGCAGCUCUGCUCGCUAACUCUGUUCCUCUUUUGAUGUCCUAAGCGCUGCUCCAGCCUGCGUUUCAGAACUGUGCCUAAGCACACCAAGAUGCUUUCAGGACUUCAGGCCGAGGUGGAUGACUUGCGCGCCGCCAUCAAUCUCGCUUUGAGAAUUUGGAGCGUCAUGAAGAACGGUGUAAUUUUAGCCCUGCUGUCAGUUCUGGAGGGGUGAAGCGAGUGAGUCACAGCCCGUGGCGCUCGGCACCGAGGGACGCACCCCGACAAGCGCCGGGAGCUUGUGCGAAAGGCGGAUUUUGGUAGGCGGUAAACUGGGAGUAUUCAGAUGAACGCCACCUGGAGAAGAUCCUGCCUGGCUCAGCGUAGGUACCCCUUGUGCCCAGCCGCCCUUCAGAGCUGGUGAACACUCACCCAGUGGUUACACAGAGGAGGAAGCCGAGGUGCAGGGGCCGUUGUGGAGCAGGCGCUAACCCCGUGGCUGUUAACUUCCUGCUGCCGCCCAUCAGCGGACCGAGGUGCGCUCGUGCAGUUAUCCCAUUAGCUUAACAUCUGCCAAAACGCCCUUUCCCCACAGGGGCUGGAUUAGUCUGGAACUGACCCAGCUCCCCGGGAAGCUUUUCCUAUCACGUACUUGUGGCUUUCAGUCCGCUGCCCUAACUGUAGCCAAACCCAGCGCGUGCGUCUCACCGUAGAGCAGGAAAUUUCCGCAAGCAAAGCAGUGAUUUGGCUCUACUUUUCCCUCCAAAGCAAGUCUAAGUCUUCAAAUUGCACUGUGUUUAAAUGUUCAAAUUACAUCCUAUAUAUCAUGUAGACACUUGUAUUUUCAAUCUAAAAGCUUGUUUCAGCUGCAAUGACCUGUGCUGGACCGGUUUUCACACCAGUACCGAAAAGAAAAGCAUUUCAAGGGAGAGGUGAGGGGCAGCAGCAGGACAGACACCACCGGUGUGCUUGAUUUCUUCUUGCUGCCCGACACAAAGGUUCAGGACAAAAUUCCCCAGCACCUGCUGGCUGGAAGAUGAGCCCAGCUCACCAAGGGCCAAUGUGAAAGUCGCUGGCAUCCAGUGCUGCGUUGUGGAAGGCGUUGAAUUGCUGCCAAUGAGCUGUCCCUGGAUCUCGCCCUGGCUCAUCUUAUAACUUUGGACUAGUUUACGAAUUCAAAGUCUUCUAGCCCUUGCCUCCAAGCACCUUGAGCAUGUGGCACGUGUGAGCCAGGGUCACCGUCGGCUGGGCUGGGACACUGCUGCCUGGGCACUAGCGAUGCUCCGGGGCUGGUCCUGCCGGGCUCUGGGGUUGCAAAGGCACCCUUCUGCCUCGGGCCUGCUCCUGGCCCUCUGUGGGGAGGGACGGGAAUGUUUCAGACCAGGGUGGUGAUAUGUUAUGCCUUAAGUAAUGCCAUCAGCAGCCUCGCAGCUGCAAUCUCAGGAUCUCAGCUCCCACCUUACCUGUUGGGUUGAUACCUAAUGAAGAAAUGAUCUGCAUUGUCCCCUUGAUAGGAGGUUACACUCUCAAACACAGCACCAAAGCUUCCCAGCUUUUGUUUCCACUGUGGAUCUUAUUAAUGAUUUAAUAACGGGGGAGGCAUCUCCCUGUGAGGACGAGCUGCAGCUUUUUCACUUUGUUUGCGGUUGCCCAUGGGUUUCCUUUACCCUCCAGGUCCCAGCCUGCCACCCUCACUCCAGCGCCACCCUUCCUUUUGCUCCCGGU